UCGUUACCCUGGAAUUUUGAAUCAGAUAAGUUAAUUACAUAAAAAAACGAAAUACUUAAACUUAUACAGUCACGCUGCGAUACGCAAGUGAACUGCUACAUUCGGUGUUCAUUUCUACUUAUUUUCUACAAAAUUCUACUUUUACUUUCGAUAAAUCGUUACAUUUUUAAUAAAUAUUCGAAAAACCAUUUUUCCUGUUGUCUUCCAAUUUUUCAGGUGAAUCAUAAAUUCUCCUCAGGCCAAAAGAUUUGGAGUUGCACACAUUCUAGUAUAAACUGAAGUCCAAAAGUGAUGAAGAGCGAUCUCAAGAGCUUCGCGGUUGUCUGGUUGAGGUUGUCCAUAUCCACCAGUGUUGCUCCAAUCGCCAGAAUUGCGUUGAGUGGUUGACCCAAUCUUAGCACCGGAACCGGACCAGAACCAUCCGUUAAUAUUCUGCGGCUGCAGAUCGGGCCGAUCGCAGCCAUUAAAGUUGCACUUGCGUCCAGAUGUCCAGAUAUACCUCACAUUUCCUGUCGCAAAUUCCAAUCGCUAAUUAUAUCAUGAACACACACGAAUAUACAUGCGCCAUUAAUGGAUCCAACCAGAAAUCAUGAUAUUCACAUUCUCAGACGAUUGGAGCCUCGUUAUGUCGAAAGUUGGUCAUCUCGUCGGCUAAAGUAAGCCCCGAUAUUCGCUCAGAAAUAAUCUCGCGUACGAGUACACGAGAACGUCGAGAGGUCAAGAGCGAUCGCCCCAGGCAACUACAGCUCAUUGCCGUCUCAUUUCCUUAGGGGGCGUCACGGACUACUUCUGUUUUUCGCCACGGAAAAAGAUCAGAAAACAGAUGCCAGGAAAAAAGAUCAGAAAACAGAUGCCAGGAAAAAAUAUCAGAAAACAGAUGCCCCGAAGAUUGCCGACAACUUGGCAAGUUAUUUUUCGAAGCGACGGUCAAGUGAAAGUGGGUUGGUUCGACCAGUCGUCUUUUACUUGCAUCCUCUGCAUCUGCAGGUGUGCUAUGCACAUGCACAAGGAUGUAACUCACACGUGACCGUAAAAACUGCAGAAAUGUCCUUCGCUCGUCGUUGAGUGAAAAUAAGGUACAUUUACCUGGUUAAAAUGCGGCAUAUAAGGAGAUCCCAGGAAUAGCCUUACCUUCUACGGUAUAGAUUGUAUGCAAAUGGUAUUAAAUUAUUGUCAAC
rnacentral:misc_RNA from 1 species